AUCAAAAUCAACCGCAGGUGGUAGAUCCUUCUCCUAUUUGGCACCUAAACUCUGGAACAAUCUUCCUAGCAUUGUUCGGGAAGCAGACACACUCUGUCAGUUUAAAUCUAGACUAAAAACGCAUUUCUUUAACCUGGCAUACACAUAACACAUUACCAAUUUAUAUUUUCAAAUCUGUUAAAGGAUUAUUAGGCUGCAUAAAUUAGGUCAGCCGGAACCGGGAACACUUCCUAUAACGCCUGAUGUACUCGUUACAUCAGAAGAAGAAUGGCAUCUACGCUAAUAUUAGUCUUUCUGGUUAUCCCGAGGUUCACCGUAGUCAACCGGAUCCGGGCCGUAUCCAGGUGAGACCAAGGACCUGCACCUUGACACGACCACAAUGCAGCCUUGACGUAUCAGCAGAGAUUGAGUCAACUAGAUCAUCCACUGUGAGGGCCUCAUCGACACGACAGCCACGACACAGUUCCUCAACACCCGUCCAUACCGCCGUGAUGAAUACGAUCCUCAAUUGGAUGGAACUGGAAUAAAUACUUUGAAUGUUGCGAUCCUGUCGGACUUAUGAUAGCUACCUGAAUCGUAACAAAGCACUGUUGGCCAGAGGAGAACUGGCCCCCCGACUAAGCCUGGUUUCUCCCAAGGUUUUUUUUCUCCAUUUAAACACCUAUUUGCCACUUGUCUGCCACCUGAUGUCACCUGAUGGAGUUUGGGUUCCUUGCCGCUGUCGCCUUUGGCUUGCUUAGUUGGGGACACUUGACAUUUGACUUGACAUUUGAUAUUCAACAGUGCUUUGAUCUGCCUGCAUUGACACUAUUCUUUUAAGAGCUGCUGUGCAGCCAAAUAAUGUACCAGUUAUCAAUGUAAAGCUGCUUUGACACAAUCUACAUUGUAAAAAGCGCUAUAUAAAUAAAGGUGACUUGACUUGACUUGA